GUGAGCGCUGGCGGCAGGCCUAACACAUGCAAGUCGCACGGCAGCACAAGAGAGCUUGCUCUCUGGGUGGCGAGUGGCGGACGGGUGAGGAAUGCAUCGGAAUCUGCCCAUUUGUGGGGGAUAACCUCGGGAAACCGGGACUAAUACCGCAUACGACCUACGGGUGAAAGCAGGGGAUCUUCGGACCUUGCGCAGAUGGAUGAGCCGAUGCCGGAUUAGCUAGUUGGAGGGGUGAAGGCCCACCAAGGCGACGAUCCGUAGCUGGUCUGAGAGGAUGAUCAGCCACACUGGGACUGAGACACGGCCCAGACUCCUACGGGAGGCAGCAGUGGGGAAUAUUGGACAAUGGGCGCAAGCCUGAUCCAGCCAUGCCGCGUGUGUGAAGAAGGCCUUCGGGUUGUAAAGCACUUUUGUUGGGAAAGAAAAGCAGCCGGUUAAUACCCGGUUGUCAUGACGGUACCCAAAGAAUAAGCACCGGCUAACUUCGUG
rnacentral:rRNA from 1 species